CCCUUAGAUGUUCUGGGCUGCACGCGCGCUACACUGACGUACGCAACGAGUCUCCUGCGCUGAGGGGCGCGGGUAAUCAUCUGAGUGUACGUCGUGAUGGGGAUAGAAUAUUGUAAUUAUUACUCUUGAACGAGGAAUUCCUAGUAAGCGCAAGUCAGCAGCUUGCGCUGAUUACGUCCCUGCCCUUUGUACACACCGCCCGUCGCUCCUACCGAUGGGGUGAUCCGGUGAAUGAUUCGGACUUUGACACUUCUAGCUACUAGUUGUGUCGGGGGAAGUUUUGUGAACCUUAUCACUUGGAGGAAGGAGAAGUCGUANCA
rnacentral:rRNA from 1 species